rnacentral:lncRNA from 7 species
AAAAAAACGAGUGACCAACACAUGGUGUUUGUAGGACUCAGGUCUCAGGAUGUGUACAGGAGCUGGAAAAAAGUUGGUGUCUCACAUACAAGGAAUAAGGCUCACAGCUGGCCGGAAGAAUAGGAGCUCGCGGUGUACGGGGCGGAGCUCCACCAGCGGCCCUGGCACCCUGGCUGGAGCUCGGUAAGGCGGAGGUGGGGAGGAGCUCGGCCUGCCUCAGCGCGAAGGGCAGAAGGGCCAAAGCUAGCCACCUCGUCCUGGGCGGCUGGCCGGACGCAGAGCUCGGCUAUGGCGUCGGCCAUGGUAGAGCUUGGCUGGGCUAGAUGUUCCGCCGCUCCAGUGACAUCGCGGAGGCGACACUCGGGAGGCCGCUGGUGGGCCGUGGACGGUGGACGAGGGCUGGGGACAUGCGGAGACGGAACUAGACACCUGGCCAAGACGUGGCAUCGGCGGUGGCACUAGGUGGAUACGAGGUGAUGACUGGGAUGAAAACGGUUUCAAAAAUUUUCGGUUUUAUGGAAACCAUUUUCGAAUUUUUUUAUCCGAUCCAACUGUAACGGUAAUUCCCGAAAACGAAAUCGGUAUUAAAUUUCGGAAUCGAUAUCGAAAUCGGUUAAACGUUUUACCGACCGUUUACUUCGGUUACCGAUUUUAAUCGAAAUUUAAGUCUCGGAAUUUUCUGAAAAUAAAAAAAAAUCAAAUUAAUUGGCCCAAGGCCCA